rnacentral:rRNA from 1 species
CGCAUCUGUGCAUGCAGCAUAUCAAUAAGCGGAGGAAAAGAAAAUAACAAUGAUUUCCCUAGUAACGGCGAGUGAAGAGGAAAGAGCUCAAAGUUGGAAACUGUUUGGCUUAGCUAAACCGUAUUGUAAACUGUAGAAACAUUUUCCUGGCACGCCGGAUUAAUAAGUCCUUUGGAACAAGGCAUCAUGGAGGGUGAGAAUCCCGUCUUUGAUCCGAGUAGUUGUCUUUUGUGAUAUGUUUUCAAAGAGUCAGGUUGUUUGGGAAUGCAGCCUAAAUUGGGUGGUAAAUCUCACCUAAAGCUAAAUAUUUGCGAGAGACCGAUAGCGAACAAGUACCGUGAGGGAAAGAUGAAAAGAACUUUGAAAAGAGAGGUUAAACAGUACGUGAAAUUGUCAAAAGGGAAGCGUGUGACACCAGUGUUGUUUUUCUGAAAAUCAAUUAAAGAACUGUUUAUGCUAAGCUUGUUUAGACUUUAUCAGCUAACUGUUUAGUUUUGAGCUUUUCUUUAAUGCACUUUUCAGUUAACAAGUCAACAUCAAUUUCUUUUGCUGUAAAAAAGCUUGAGGAAGGUGGCUUGAGAUUCGUCUUAAGUGUUUAUAGCCUCUUGCCUAUGCAGUCGGAGAGAUUGAGGUCUGCAGCGUAGAUCCUUCGGGGCUAAAUGCAUUUGUGCUAAGUUAUAGCAUUUUAUAGACAACUUGUUGACUAUGAUUUAGUCUUGUAGCUUACUCGCUUAUGCUAUUUUACCUACGCUUAGGAUGUUGACGAGACUGUCGAUCUCAUCUGCACAUGACUCUGCAGCAUAUCAAUAAGCGGAGGAAAGUAAGGCUGUAUACCUACGCUUAGGAUGUUGACGAGACUGUCGAUCUC